rnacentral:lncRNA from 10 species
AGAGGAUUAUUUGAAAAUUCCCAAAAUAGACUUCUGGUUAAACAUUGCAGUUUAAAAACCUGUGUUUUUCUUUCAUCUCUUUCAAAAUGCUACUAAAAUGACAGCAAAGAAGCCAAAAAGGCCCAAGUCCACAAGACAGAAAGAAUAGGUGAAAAGUCCAUGUCAUCUCAUUUUUGGAGAUGGACAUGGACAGGGGCUGAAACUGCAGUACCAGCAGAUGGGGAGCUUAAGAAGGAAGCUAGUUCAUGGCACAGCACCCGUAAAGUCCCCAGAAUUGGAGGCACCAGAUUCUUCUGAAAGAAAAGGAGCAAUUCAGCACUUGUCAUGCAGAUAAGAGGUCAACACCCCAGGACGGAGUGAAAACCUAAGAUGGGACUGUCUAGUUGCAGGAAAACAAGUUCAGGGUUCCCACUGAUUCUACAUUAUGGUGAGUUGUAUAACUAUUUCAUUAUAUAUUACGAUGUAAUAAUAAUAAGAGUAAAGUGCACAAUAAACGUGAUGUGCUUGAAUCAUCCCCAAACCAUCCCCCACCCUUAUCCUGUCCAUGGAAAAAUUGUCUUCCACGAAACCAGUCCCUGGUGCCAGAAAGAUUGGGACAACUGCCCUAACUGAUGUAAGAGUAUGGGCAAUAAGUGUUUUCAGUGCACUGAGUGAUUAAAGAUUGUUGGGGCAGGGUGUGUGCAAGUUGAACUUAGCUCAGUGCAUCCACUGGCAAGGAGGUGGUAGCAGGAAAUAGGCAUGUGGUGACUUCAGUAACAGAGACGACUGCAGGGCUGACCUAAGCUUAGUAGCCUGGCUUCUCCGGGAGCUGAGGGUGAGCAUCAUGCCUGCUCCAUCUCCCUCUUUGUUGUGGAUAAGGCAGGUAGGAAGAAUGACGGAUUGCCUUACCCUUUCUAAUUGUUGUGUGCUCUCCAUACCCCACCCAAUCCUACUUCAACAUUGUCACCUAAGGAUUCACAAACCCACCCUUGUGCGAAUCCAGCCGUCUGUGUUCUAGACUGGCAAGGACCAUAUCUGAUUCUGAGAUGCUCAGGAAGGUGUGCUCCCAAUUGGCCCUUGUCCAGACUAGUUUACUUGCUGAGUAUCCCCAGGGCACAGGAACAAUCAUUUGGGGUUGCGGCUUUGUUCAUAGGGUCAUCAAGACAGGAGGAUAUGAGGCAGAAUCACCACACAAGGGCACGGUGGCUCACACCUGUAAUCCCAGCAUUUUGGAAGGUGGAGGUGGGCGGAUCACCUGAGAUGGACUCAACGACUCUCUUACCGUCCAGCUCUCAAGUCCCUUCUCUUGUGAAAAUGGAAAAGUUGAACUACAGUUGAGAUAUUAUUCCCAGGUGUUCUUUGGAACACAGGGGAUUUCUCCAAAAGGCACAGAACAAAUUGCCUCCAAACAGCCAAGAUUCCAGCAGAAGCUGGAGUAGCAGACUACUUGGAUCUUCAAAGUACCUGGCCCUGAGUCAGUUAAGGAAGAUCUUUUCUUCUCUUUUGUACAAUCCUAUGAUGAGAGCUGCAAAGUGAACUGACUAAGAGCUUCUGCCUUGAUCAUUGACCUCCCAAUCCUAAUAAUAUGUUCACUGGCCAAACUUCCUAAUCGAUUUGUCUUUUGGAUAUAACGUUCCUCCUACUGUUUGCCUGAUUGAGAAAUCUGCUACAGAACAUGACCGGUUAGCAUUCCCACCAACCCCAGUGCUACACUGACUGUCUUUCGAUGGACUUUGCUCCUUGCUGCCUCUCUGAGGUCCCAGACCUUCAGAGUGACCUUCACAGCUCUGCCUAACUUUCUGUCAUACUUCUAUCAAGAGAGACAGCUAAAUCAAUAUUUUUAAUGUGCUUUGCUGUCGGAAUUCGAUGAUCUGUCACAGUUCUUGCCCAAUACACCCCAUCAUUAUUGUUAAAAUGUUUUUAGCUUUGUUUGUAGAAUUGCUUUAACUGGUUUCAUCUCUGGGAGCUACACUUUGAAAUAUAACUUUAGCAACAUUUUACUAUACUUUUUCACAACCCAGAGCAGUACUAUUUUAUGCUUAGUGGUUAAACUAAUUCCAUAAAUCUUUUGCAACUAUCCUCUAUUCUUUUUCUUGUAAUUUUUACCUGGGAAGGUUUUUACUGAUAAUCAUCCUAUCCUGAGUCAUCCCACAAACCAAUCUGUCUCACUAAUCAUUGCUUCUAACCUACAGACUAAGCAUAACUUCUGCUAAAUGAUCUUUGAUAAGAUGCUAUGACUCUAUAAAGUCUUUGAUAUUCAUGUCUAAAUUUAAUCACUUGUAGAUUUUCAUAGAAUCAAUCUUUCACUUCUACAAUUGGGAGUAUUUAUAAGUUGUUUAUCUUAAACAGUUCCUCUAUCACGCUUUUCACGUUAAAUAAAGCAAUCCCUUCAAAUCAAUUUUCUGUCAUGUCUAAGAUGU